CCUACGGGUGGGCAGCAGUGAGGAAUAUUGGUCAAUGGGCGCGAGCCUGAACCAGCCAAGUAGCGUGAAGGAUGACUGCCCUACGGGUUGUAAACUUCUUUUAUAAAGGAAUAAAGUGAGGCACGUGUGCCUUUUCGUAUGUACUUUAUGAAUAAGGAUCGGCUAACUCCGUGACAGCAGCCGCGGUAAUACGGAGGAUCCGAGCGUUAUCCGGAUUUAUUGGGUUUAAAGGGAGCGUAGAUGGGGUGUUAAGUCAGUUGUGAAAGUUUGCGGCUCAACCGUAAAAUUGCAAUUGAUACUGGCAGUCGUGAGUACAGUUGAGGUAGGCGGAAUUCGUGGUGUAGCGGUGAAAUGCGUAGAUAUCACGAAGAACUCCGAUGGCGAAGGCAGCUUACUAAACUGCCACUGACAUUGAUGCUCGAAAGUGUGGGGAUCAAACAGGAUUAGAUACCCCGGUAGUC
rnacentral:rRNA from 1 species